AACGAACGCUGGCGGCAUGCCUAACACAUGCAAGUCGAACGAGACCUUCUGGUCUAGUGGCGCACGGGUGCGUAACGCGUGGGAACCUGCCCUUAGGUUCGGAAUCACUCCCCGAAAGGGGUGCUAAUACCGGAUAAUGUCUUCGGACCAAAGAUUUAUCGCCUUUGGAUGGGCCCGCGUUGGAUUAGCUAGUUGGUAGGGUAAAAGCCUACCAAGGCGACGAUCCAUAGCUGGUCUGAGAGGAUGAUCAGCCACACUGGGACUGAGACACGGCCCAGACUCCUACGGGAGGCAGCAGUGGGGAAUAUUGGACAAUGGGCGAAAGCCUGAUCCAGCAAUGCCGCGUGAGUGAUGAAGGCCUUAGGGUUGUAAAGCUCUUUUACCCGGGAUGAUAAUGACAGUACCGGGAGAAUAAGCACCGGCUAACUCCGUG
rnacentral:rRNA from 1 species